GAUGAACGCUAGCUCCAGGCUUAACACAUGCAAGUCGAGGGACCGGCUCACGGGUGAGUAACACGUAUCCACCCUGCCCUUUACUCGGGGAUAGCCUUUCGAACGAAAGAUUAAUACCCGAUAUAAAGGAUGGGGAUGCGUUCCAUUAGGUUGUUUGUGAGGUAACGGCCCACCAAGCCUUCGCUGGCGAGGGUUUCUGAGAGGAAGGUCCCCCACAUUGGAACUGAGAAACGGUCCAAACUCCUACGGGAGGCAGCAGUGAGGAAUAUUGGUCAAUGGGCGUUAGCCUGAACCAGCCAAGUAGCGUGAAGGAUGAAGGCUUAUGGGUCGUAAACUUCUUUUAUAUAAGAAUAGGUAUUAGAUGAAUAAGGAUCGGCUAACUCCGUGCCAGCAGCCGCGGUAAUUC
rnacentral:rRNA from 1 species